CUAGAAAGUGCACAAUUUUAUGUAAACAAGCUAAAUUCACAUUGAUUAGUUAUAAAGCGCCAAAAAGAAAUCCACAGGCCUGGACAAUGGUAUCAGAUAGUAUAGUUGCUUAUAGUAUCCUACAUGAGUUAACAUAUAGUAGAGCAAUCACAUGAAAAGCAGGGAUAGUAGGCAUAACAUGCAGGUAAGUACCACUGGAAGUUUUAGUCUAAGAAGCAAACCGUAAGACACAAGGCCAUGGAGCUCCAAGAAGCACCUAGCACAG